UGGGGAAUUUUGGGCAAUGGGGGAAACCCUGACCCAGCAACGCCGCGUGAAGGAUGAAGUAUUUCGGUAUGUAAACUUCGAAAGAAUAGGAAGAAUAAAUGACGGUACUAUUUAUAAGGUCCGGCUAACUACGUGCCAGCAGCCGCGGUAAUACGUAGGGACCAAGCGUUGUUCGGAUUUACUGGGCGUAAAGGGCGCGUAGGCGGCAUGACAAGUCACUUGUGAAAUCUCUGGGCUUAACCCAGAACGGCCAAGUGAUACUGUCGCGCUAGAGUGCAGAAGGGGCAAUCGGAAUUCUUGGUGUAGCGGUGAAAUGCGUAGAUAUCAAGAGGAACACCUGAGGUGAAGACGGGUUGCUGGGCUGACACUGACGCUGAGGCGCGAAAGCCAGGGGAGCAAACGGGAUUAGAUACCCGGGUAGUCCCUGAGCGGGCUGGCAAGGCGCAU
rnacentral:rRNA from 1 species